GGGUUGUGAGGUUAAGCGACUAAGCGUACACGGUGGAUGCCCUGGCAGUCAGAGGCGAUGAAGGACGUGCUAAUCUGCGAAAAGCGCCGGCGAGGUGAUAUGAACCUUUGACCCGGCGAUGUCCGAAUGGGGAAACCCAGUGCAAUCCGUUGCACUAUCGUUUGAUGAAUACAUAGUCAAACGAGGCGAACCGGGGGAACUGAAACAUCUAAGUACCCCGAGGAAAAGAAAUCAACCGAGAUUCCCCCAGUAGCGGCGAGCGAACGGGGAGCAGCCCAGAGCCUGAAUCAGCUUGUGUGUUAGUGGAACGGUCUGGAAAGUCCGGCGAUACAGGGUGACAGCCCCGUACACGAAAGCACACAGGUUGUGAGCUCGAUGAGUAGGGCGGGACACGUGGUAUCCUGUCUGAAUAUGGGGGGACCAUCCUCCAAGGCUAAAUACUCCUGACUGACCGAUAGUGAACCAGUACCGUGAGGGAAAGGCGAAAAGAACCCCGGCGAGGGGAGUGAAAAAGAACCUGAAACCGUGUACGUACAAGCAGUGGGAGCCUCUUUAAUGGGGUGACUGCGUACCUUUUGUAUAAUGGGUCAGCGACUUAUAUUCUGUAGCAAGGUUAACCGAAUAGGGGAGCCGAAGGGAAACCGAGUCUUAACUGGGCGUUAAGUUGCAGGGUAUAGACCCGAAACCCGGUGAUCUAGCCAUGGGCAGGUUGAAGGUUGGGUAACACUAACUGGAGGACCGAACCGACUAAUGUUGAAAAAUUAGCGGAUGACUUGUGGCUGGGGGUGAAAGGCCAAUCAAACCGGGAGAUAGCUGGUUCUCCCCGAAAGCUAUUUAGGUAGCGCCUCGUGAAUUCAUCUCCGGGGGUAGAGCACUGUUUCGGCUAGGGGGCCAUCCCGGCUUACCAACCCGAUGCAAACUACGAAUACCGGAGAAUGUUAUCACGGGAGACACACGGCGGGUGCUAACGUCCGUCGUGAAGAGGGAAACAACCCAGACCGCCAGCUAAGGUCCCAAAGUCAUGGUUAAGUGGGAAACGAUGUGGGAAGGCACAGACAGCCAGGAUGUUGGCUUAGAAGCAGCCAUCAUUUAAAGAAAGCGUAAUAGCUCACUGGUCGAGUCGGCCUGCGCGGAAGAUGUAACGGGGCUAAACCAUGCACCGAAGCUGCGGCAGCGACACUUAAGUGUUGUUGGGUAGGGGAGCGUUCUGUAAGCCUGCGAAGGUGUGCUGUGAAGCAUGCUGGAGGUAUCAGAAGUGCGAAUGCUGACAUAAGUAACGAUAAAGCGGGUGAAAAGCCCGCUCGCCGGAAGACCAAGGGUUCCUGUCCAACGUUAAUCGGGGCAGGGUGAGUCGACCCCUAAGGCGAGGCCGAAAGGCGUAGUCGAUGGGAAACAGGUUAAUAUUCCUGUACUUGGUGUUACUGCGAAGGGGGGACGGAGAAGGCUAUGUUAGCCGGGCGACGGUUGUCCCGGUUUAAGCAUGUAGGCUGGUUAUCCAGGCAAAUCCGGAUAAUCAAGGCUGAGAUGUGAUGACGAGUCACUACGGUGAUGAAGUAACAAAUGCCCUGCUUCCAGGAAAAGCCUCUAAGCAUCAGGUAACAUCAAAUCGUACCCCAAACCGACACAGGUGGUCAGGUAGAGAAUACCAAGGCGCUUGAGAGAACUCGGGUGAAGGAACUAGGCAAAAUGGUGCCGUAACUUCGGGAGAAGGCACGCUGAUAUGUAGGUGAAGCCCCUGCGGGCGGAGCUGAAAUCAGUCGAAGAUACCAGCUGGCUGCAACUGUUUAUUAAAAACACAGCACUGUGCAAACACGAAAGUGGACGUAUACGGUGUGACGCCUGCCCGGUGCCGGAAGGUUAAUUGAUGGGGUUAUCCGUAAGGAGAAGCUCUUGAUCGAAGCCCCGGUAAACGGCGGCCGUAACUAUAACGGUCCUAAGGUAGCGAAAUUCCUUGUCGGGUAAGUUCCGACCUGCACGAAUGGCGUAAUGAUGGCCAGGCUGUCUCCACCCGAGACUCAGUGAAAUUGAACUCGCUGUGAAGAUGCAGUGUACCCGCGGCAAGACGGAAAGACCCCGUGAACCUUUACUAUAGCUUGACACUGAACAUUGAGCCUUGAUGUGUAGGAUAGGUGGGAGGCUUUGAAGCGUGGACGCCAGUCUGCGUGGAGCCAACCUUGAAAUACCACCCUUUAAUGUUUGAUGUUCUAACGUGGACCCGUGAUCCGGGUUGCGGACAGUGUCUGGUGGGUAGUUUGACUGGGGCGGUCUCCUCCCAAAGAGUAACGGAGGAGCACGAAGGUUGGCUAAUCCUGGUCGGACAUCAGGAGGUUAGUGCAAUGGCAUAAGCCAGCUUGACUGCGAGCGUGACGGCGCGAGCAGGUGCGAAAGCAGGUCAUAGUGAUCCGGUGGUUCUGAAUGGAAGGGCCAUCGCUCAACGGAUAAAAGGUACUCCGGGGAUAACAGGCUGAUACCGCCCAAGAGUUCAUAUCGACGGCGGUGUUUGGCACCUCGAUGUCGGCUCAUCACAUCCUGGGGCUGAAGUAGGUCCCAAGGGUAUGGCUGUUCGCCAUUUAAAGUGGUACGCGAGCUGGGUUUAGAACGUCGUGAGACAGUUCGGUCCCUAUCUGCCGUGGGCGCUGGAGAAUUGAGGGGGGCUGCUCCUAGUACGAGAGGACCGGAGUGGACGCAUCACUGGUGUUCGGGUUGUCAUGCCAAUGGCACUGCCCGGUAGCUACAUGCGGAAGAGAUAAGUGCUGAAAGCAUCUAAGCACGAAACUUGCCCCGAGAUGAGUUCUCCCCUGGACUUUAAGUCCACUAAAGGAACGUUGAAGACGACGACGUUGAUAGGCCGGGUGUGUAAGCGCAGCGAUGCGUUGAGCUAACCGGUACUAAUGAACCGUGAGGCUUAACCUUACAACGCCGAAG
rnacentral:rRNA from 1 species